GGAAAAAAUGAAAGGUUCCUGUCUACUUACGAAGGGAUAGAAGUUACUAAUCAAGUGAAAAUUCUUGAGUAUAUAUAUAAGACGAGAAGACCCUGGAAAUUUGUUGUAAAUGACUCAAAUAAGCAUUUUGUUGGGGCGACAAAGUAACAGUUGAAACUUACUUUAAAUGGAUAUGAUAUUUAUAUAGCGUAUAAAGAAAUUACUCCAGGGAUAACAGCAUAAUAUCUUUGAAGUUUAUGACCUCGAUGUUGGACUAGGAUAGUUAAUUAUCUAGAAGAUAACUAAUUACGCUCUGUUCGCGCGGUAAUUUCCUACGUGAACAGAGAUCAGACCGA
rnacentral:rRNA from 1 species